rnacentral:rRNA from 1 species
UGGGGAAUUUUGGACAAUGGGCGAAAGCCUGAUCCAGCAAUGCCGCGUGUGUGAAGAAGGCCUUCGGGUUGUAAAGCACUUUUGUCCGGAAAGAAAUCCUUGGCUCUAAUACAGUCGGGGGAUGACGGUACCGGAAGAAUAAGCACCGGCUAACUACGUGCCAGCAGCCGCGGUAAUACGUAGGGUGCAAGCGUUAAUCGGAAUUACUGGGCGUAAAGCGUGCGCAGGCGGUUUGCUAAGACCGAUGUGAAAUCCCCGGGCUCAACCUGGGAACUGCAUUGGUGACUGGCAGGCUAGAGUAUGGCAGAGGGGGGUAGAAUUCCACGUNUAGCAGUGAAAUGCGUAGAGAUGUGGAGGAAUACCGAUGGCGAAGGCAGCCCCCUGGGCAAUACUGACGCUCAUGCACGAAAGCGUGGGGAGCAAACAGGAUUAGAUACCCUGGUAGUCCACGCCCUAAAACGAUGUCAACUAGUUGUUGGGGAUUCAUUUCCUAGUAACGUAGCUAACGCGUGAAGUUGACCGCCUGGGGAGUACGGUCGCAAGAUUAAAACUCAAAUGAAUUG